rnacentral:pre_miRNA from 1 species
CUAUUUAAGAAAUUUUGAAAUGUAGUGUAGCAUGCCCGUUUGUGAAUUACUGAUGAAUAUUUUAUAUUUAAUUACUUUUGGGUAACGGGGUGUUACAUUUGAUGGACAACUUAAGUAU